rnacentral:rRNA from 1 species
UACGGAGGGUGCGAGCGUUAUCCGGAAUUACUGGGUUUAAAGGGUGCGUAGGCGGCUUGGUAAGUCAGGAGUGAAAGUUUGCGGCUCAACCGUAAAAUUGCUUUUGAUACUGCCAGGCUAGAAUCAGGUUGAGGUUAGCGGAAUGUGGCAUGUAGCGGUGAAAUGCAUAGAUAUGCCAUAGAACACCAAUUGCGAAGGCAGCUGGCUAGACCUGUAUUGACGCUGAGGCACGAAAGCGUGGGGAGCGAACAGG